rnacentral:rRNA from 1 species
UGGAAUGAUGGGAAUUUAAACCUCUUCCAGAGUAUCAAUUGGAGGGCAAGUCUGGUGCCAGCAGCCGCGGUAAUUCCAGCUCCAAUAGCGUAUAUUAAAAUUGUUGCAGUUAAAAAGCUCGUAGUUGAAUUUCUGCUGUAUUGCAUUUUCUCUUUUUAUAUGAGUUUUUGCAUUAUGGCUUAUUUCAGUAUUAAUUUUUUAUUAUUACUGAAUGUUUACUUUGAGAAAAUUAGAGUGCUCAAAGCAGGCUUUUGCCUUGAAUAGUUUAGCAUGGAAUAAUAAAGUAGGACUUUGGUUCUAUUUUGUUGGUUUUAGGUACCAAAGUAAUGGUUAAUAGGAACAGUUGGGGGCAUUCGUAUUUAACUGUCAGAGGUGAAAUUCUUAGAUUUGUUAAAGACGAACUACUGCGAAAGCAUUUGCCAAGGAUGUUUUCAUUAAUCAAGAACGAAAGUUAGGGGAUCGAAGACGAUCAGAUACCGUCGUAGUCCUA